rnacentral:rRNA from 1 species
AGUGAACGCUGGCGGUAUGCCUAACACAUGCAAGUCGAACGGCAGCACAGUAAGAGCUUGCUCUUACGGGUGUCGAGUGUCGGACGGGUGAGUAAUACAUCGGAAUCUACUUUUUCGUGGGUGAUAACGUAGGGAAACUUACGCUAAUACCGCAUACGACCUACGGGUGAAAGCAGGGGAUCUUCGGACCUUGCGCGAUUGAAUGAGCCGAUGUCGGAUUAGCUAGGUGGCGGGGUAAAGGCCCACCAAGGCGACGAUCCGUAGCUGGUCUGAGAGGAUGAUCAGCCAGACUGGAACUGAGGAACGGUACCGACUCCUACGGGAGGAAGCAGUGGGGAAUAUUGGACAAUGGGCGAAAGCCUGAUACAGCAAUACCGCGUGGGUGAAGAAGGCCUUAGGGUUGUAAAGCCAUUUUGUUGGGAAAGAAAAGCAGCAGGUUAAUACCCCGCUGUUCUGACGGUACCCAAAGAAUAAGCACCGGCUAACUUCGUG